CCCCAUUUAAGUGCUGACUGCCACUGAGGAAAGAUCUUUUUCUGGAGAUUGGUCCUCAUGGAAUUUAUUUUUAUUUACAUCAUAUAAGAAAGCUUCUUCAGACCCACGCUUUCUGCUUCAUUUCAUCAUCAAGUGCUACCUGCAAACUCUGGCACCACUCAGGAAGGCCUGGCCAUUGCUGGAGGAGCUCAGUCAUGGCCUGUGUGAGGACAUGUGCAGAGGCAGCGGUCACCCUCCUGCUCUCUGGAAGUCAUUGCACGGAAAGCACUUGGAGACCCUCAUGAUCAGAAAAAUGGCAAGAGGAGUCAAAACUAACAUCCAAGAAAUGCUAAUAAAGCAGAAGAAACCAAAGCAAACAGAAGCUAGAGGGCACAGAUCUCAUGAUUGCUACCCUGAAAAACCUGCUGUGUGCCAGAUCCACAGGUGUGUGCGGCUGAAUGGUCAUCCUUCUGGUGGAAUGCAAAUGUGAACUACUCCAAAAGGUUUUCUAUUACUGCAUCUCUUGAUGUCUGUGUUGGAAAGUUGAGCUGCCAUGAAGAUCUCCAUGAGUUGUUAAAUCCACUGGGGUCAUGCUGGAGGGUUAUUGCUUAUUGUUUUUUGAAGGAGGUAGAACCAGCUCCAAACACUGUGCAGCACUGAAUGUGAACUAAUAUUUGGGACAGCAAGGAAAUCCAAUGUGUGUCUGAAUUGAGAUUCUUUCAUAGGCCUUCUGAAAGCAAUUCUGAGCAUGUUUUGAGCUGCUUUCUCUCUGAUUCUGUAAA